rnacentral:rRNA from 1 species
AUGAACGCUGGCGGCGUGCCUAAUACCUGCAAGUCGAGCGAACGGACGAGGAGCUUGCUUCUCUGAUGUUAGCGGCGGACGGGUGAGUAACACGUGGAUAACCUACCUAUAAGACUGGGAUAACUUCGGGAAACCGGAGCUAAUACCGGAUAAUAUUUUGAACCGCAUGGUUCAAAAGUGAAAGACGGUCUUGCUGUCACUUAUAGAUGGAUCCGCGCUGCAUUAGCUAGUUGGUAAGGUAACGGCUUACCAAGGCAACGAUGCAUAGCCGACCUGAGAGGGUGAUCGGCCACACUGGAACUGAGACACGGUCCAGACUCCUACGGGAGGCAGCAGUAGGGAAUCUUCCGCAAUGGGCGAAAGCCUGACGGAGCAACGCCGCGUGAGUGAUGAAGGUCUUCGGAUCGUAAAACUCUGUUAUUAGGGAAGAACAUAUGUGUAAGUAACUGUGCACAUCUUGACGGUACCUAAUCAGAAAGCCACGGCUAACUACGUG